CUGGAGAACUGGCUCAGAGCUUAAGAAUGGGUGCUGCUUGGGGCUGGAGAGAUGGCUCAGAGGUUAAGAUCGCUGACUGCUCUUCCAGAGGUCCUGAGUUCAAUUCCCAGCAACCACCUGGUGGCUCACAACCAUCCGUUAUGAGAUCUGGUGCCCUCUUCUGGUGUGCAGAUAUACAUGGAAGCAGAAUAUUGUAUACAUAAUAAAUAAAUAAAUACAUAAAUAAAUAAAUAAUCUUUAAAAAAUGUGUGGGUGCUACUCUUGCAGAGGACUGAGGCUGUGUGAGAGUACAGGUUAUGUGUAUUCCACAGUAUGCACGAGGAGCAGCACAGGGGCUAACCUCAAGUGUCUCUGUUAACCUGCUAUCUUGUUUGAACCCCAGUCUCUUGUUUGGAACUGCAUAGGCCAGCCUAAGCGACCUACAAGCUUCUGGAGAUUCUCCUGCCCCUCCUCCCAUCUCACUAUAGGAGCCCUGGCCUUACAAAUAUGCAUGCCACCAUGUCCAGCUUUACCUGGGUUCUGGGAUCUGAACUUAGGACUUCAAGUCCUUCAAGAAUGCUGGAUUUAGCCAUACCGUUAAAACUGUGUCCUCGGAGUCUCCAUCUGAGAAAUGAAGCUCGAGCUGCUGUCAUCUGAGAAGAGGGACUCUCCAUGGAAUAAAUUCUUCUGUCAGAUUGGCCUGUAGGCGAGCCUGUGGGGC
rnacentral:lncRNA from 1 species